GUCAAGUUGCGUCAGGAACACAAAAAGUACUUAGAAAUCUCUAGCUAGGAGAGGUGCUCAUUGUUUCAGAUAUUUCGGCGCGUUAGUGGUUGCCUCGCGAAACGUCCGAUCGGAAUGUUAUACACUCCUUCAGGACCAUUUGCUGUAGGAGUCUGCGACAUCGAAUACUUCAACAAGAAUCUUGGAAAGGACAGCGAUAAGGGCAUAAAUUGUCAAUCGGUAUCUCCUUGCGAUUGUACCGUUUAUUUUGUGUUGUUCCGACACGUCUUGUUGCUUUCGUGACGGUCCAUAUCGCCUCAUUCUUGCACUUGAUUAGAUAGCAUAUUAUCCCUGGAUUGUAGAAGGACGAUGAGGCCUCAAAUUCCUGCUUGUUUGAGUGGCUUAAAAACCCGUGUGGCUUCUUUGCAGCACCUGGUCGGUCGGAUAUUUUAUCCUUGCAAUGCAGACGCCUUGAAGCACAAGAAGUAUCAUAAGCCAUGCUGGCUUCCAUCCUGGACCUAUGCCCGAGGUGUGCCGAUCGAUUUUGCAGUAGCAUGCAUCCCUCCCAAGCCUGACCUUGGACACGCCAAUCUCGCUCUGCAUGACCCAUCAGGGCAUUUUAGAUACACCGCUUUGCAUGCAAUUGAAAUUUCAAUAGCCUGUCAUGUGUCCAUACCACAGGCUAUGGGGCAUUCUUGACUUCGUGGGGUGGAACCUCAUUCCUGAAGUCCCUGCUGAAGCCCGUAAUCGUGGCCGUCAGCUACAGCU
rnacentral:lncRNA from 1 species